UGGGGAAUAUUGGGCAAUGGGGGGAACCCUGACCCAGCAACGCCGCGUGAAGGACGAAGGCCUUCGGGUUGUAAACUUCUUUGAUCAGGGACGAAAGCGAUGACGGUACCUGAAGAACAAGCCACGGCUAACUACGUGCCAGCAGCCGCGGUAAUACGUAGGUGGCGAGCGUUAUCCGGAUUUACUGGGUGUAAAGGGCGUGUAGGCGGACCGGCAAGUCGGGUGUGAAAUCCCCGGGCUUAACUCGGGUAUGUCAUCCGAAACUGCAGGUCUUGAGUACUGGAGAGGAUAGUGGAAUUCCUAGUGUAGCGGUAAAAUGCGUAGAUAUUAGGAGGAACACCAGUGGCGAAGGCGGCUAUCUGGCCAGUAACUGACGCUGAGGCGCGAAAGCGUGGGGAGCAAACAGG
rnacentral:rRNA from 1 species